AGUGUUGUUUGUGUUACUACUUAAACAGUGCUUAAAACUGCCCACUAAAGGAGUAGUGGAUAAGACACACAUUUCUUUUAGGCCCAGAAUGCCGCAGGUGGCAGUUGGUGGGGUGAAUCCAACAGACAUCCACUUGGACUUAGCCACCUCUAAAAAGCAGGAACUCUAAGCCAUUACUAAAACGACCUAAUUCACUCAGCAAAAUACCCAAAGAUUCAGAAGCAGGUACCCAAGCACCUGCUAUGAAGAGGAAAUGCAAACGGAUAUGGUAGUAGUACACACCGUACUCAGGAAGCUAGAGUGGACUGUGAAUUCAGCUGGCCUGGGAUCCACAGGAAGACUGCCUCAAGAAAGGGAAGAAGGGGACUGGUGAGAUGGCUCAGGGGACUAGCAACUGAAAGAAUAAAAGCAUGUUGCUAUCAGGUAGUCUGUACCCAUCCCGCUUCCUGAAGGUUACUGCUGGCUGAAGACUGGUUACCUAAGAUACCUGCUAGGUUUAUUUCCUUUAAGGAUAACAGUGAGUGCAAUUUAGCAGGUAUGGUUUCUUCAAUAAAACAACAAAUAUAAAA